rnacentral:rRNA from 1 species
UACAGAGGGGGCGAGCGUUGUUCGGAAUUACUGGGCGUAAAGGGCGCGUAGGCGGCCCGCUAAGUCGAACGUGAAAUCCCCAGGCUCAACCUGGGAACUGCGUCCGAUACUGGCAGGCUUGAAUCCGGGAGAGGGAUGUGGAAUUCCAGGUGUAGCGGUGAAGUGCGUAGAUAUCUGGAGGAACAUCAGUGGCGAAGGCGACACCCUGGACUCAUACUGACACUGAGGUGCGAAAGCGUGGGGAGCAAACAGG